GAUGAACGCUGGCGGCGUGCUUAAUACAUGCAAGUCGAACGGAGACUGUAGCAAUACUGUCUUAGUGGCGAACGGGUGAGUAACGCGUUGGUGACCUGCCCCGAAGAGGGGGAUAACAGUCCGAAAGGAUUGCUAAUACCCCAUGUGGUCGUUUGGAUUAGAUGCCUUACGACUAACGGAUUUAUUCGCUUCGGGAGGGGCCUGCGUCCCAUCAGCUAGUUGGUAGGGUAAUAGCCUACCAAGGCGAUGACGGGUAGGGGACCUGAGAGGGUGGCCCCCCACAAUGGAACUGAAACACGGUCCAUACACCUACGGGUGGCAGCAGUAGGGAAUAUUGGUAAUCUGGGAAACCGGGAACCAGCAACGCCGCGUGCGCGAUGAAGGCCUUCGGGUUGUAAAGCGCUUUUUAAAGGGAUGAGGAAGGACAGUACCUUUAGAAUAAGCCUCGGCUAACUACGUG
rnacentral:rRNA from 1 species